GAGCGGCAGAGAGGAGCUUGCUUCUGUGGAGAGCGGCGGACGGGUGAGUAAUGCAUAGGAAUGUGCCUGGUAGUGGGGGAUAACGUCCGGAAAGGUCGCUAAUACCGCAUACGUCCUACGGGAGAAAGCAGGGGACCUUCGGGCCUUGCGCUAUCAGAUGAGCCUAGGUCGGAUUAGCUAGUUGGUGGGGUAAUGGCUCACCAAGGCGACGAUCCGUAACUGGUUUGAGAGGAUGAUCAGUCACACUGGAACUGAGACACGGUCCAGACUCCUACGGGAGGCAGCAGUGGGGAAUAUUGGACAAUGGGC
rnacentral:rRNA from 1 species